rnacentral:rRNA from 1 species
CCUACGGGUGGCAGCAGUGGGGAAUAUUGGACAAUGGGCGAAAGCCUGAUCCAGCCAUGCCGCGUGCGUGAAGAAGGCCUUCGGGUUGUAAAGCACUUUCAGUGGGGAAGAAAGCCUUGGGGCUAAUACCCUCGAGGAAGGACAUCACCCACAGAAGAAGCACCGGCUAACUCCGUGCCAGCAGCCGCGGUAAUACGGAGGGUGCGAGCGUUAAUCGGAAUUACUGGGCGUAAAGCGCGCGUAGGCGGUCUGAUAAGCCGGUUGUGAAAGCCCCGGGCUCAACCUGGGAACGGCAUCCGGAACUGUCAGGCUAGAGUGCAGGAGAGGAAGGUAGAAUUCCCGGUGUAGCGGUGAAAUGCGUAGAGAUCGGGAGGAAUACCAGUGGCGAAGGCGGCCUUCUGGACUGACACUGACGCUGAGGUGCGAAAGCGUGGGUAGCAAACAGGAUUAGAUACCCUUGUAGUC